rnacentral:rRNA from 1 species
UACGUAGGUGGCAAGCGUUGUCCGGAUUUAUUGGGUUAAGGGUGCGUAGGCGGUUCCAUAGUCAGUGGUGAAUACGGCAGCUCAACUGUCGAGGUGCCAUGAUACUGCGGAACUUGAGUGUUGAUGAGGCAGGCGGAAGUUGACGGUGAGCGGUGAAUGCUUAGAUAUCGUCAGGAACGCCAAUGGUGAAGACAGGUAACUGGCUAGUUCUGACACUGGAGGCACAAAAGCGUGGGAGCGGAACGGG